AUUGAACGCUGGCGGCAGGCCUAACACAUGCAAGUCGAGCGGAUGAAGGGAGCUUGCUCCUGGAUUCAGCGGCGGACGGGUGAGUAAUGCCUAGGAAUCUGCCUGUUAGUGGGGGAUAACGUCCGGAAACGGGCGCUAAUACCGCAUACGUCCUGAGGGAGAAAGUGGGGGAUCUUCGGACCUCACGCUAUCAGAUGAGCCUAGGUCGGAUUAGCUAGUUGGUGGGGUAAAGGCCUACCAAGGCGACGAUCCGUAACUGGUCUGAGAGGAUGAUCAGUCACACUGGAACUGAGACACGGUCCAGACUCCGACGGGAGGCAGCAGUGGGGAAUAUUGGACAAUGGGCGGAAGCCUGAUCCAGCCAUGCCGCGUGUGUGAAGAAGGUCUUCGGAUUGUAAAGCACUUUAAGUUGGGAGGAAGGGCAGUAAGUUAAUACCUUGCUGUUUUGACGUUACCAACAGAAUAAGCACCGGCUAACUUCGUG
rnacentral:rRNA from 1 species